rnacentral:rRNA from 1 species
UACGAGUGCCUCAAGCGUUAUCCGGAAUUACUGGGCGUAAAGCGUGCGUAGACGGUUACAUAAGUCGGGUGUGAAAGCCCCGGGCUCAACCUGGGAAUUGCAUUCGAGACUGCGUAGCUAGGGUGCGGAAGAGGGAAGCGGAAUUUCCGGUGUAGCGGUGAAAUGCGUAGAUAUCGCUUGGAACGCCGAAGGUGAAAACAGGUGCUGGGGUUGUGCCGACGCUGAGACACGAAAGCCAGGGGAGCAAACGGG